UACGUAGGGGGCAAGCGUUGUCCGGAAUUAUUGGGCGUAAAGCGCGCGCAGGCGGCCGUUUAAGUCUGGUGUUUAAGCCCAAGGCUCAACCUUGGGACGCACUGGAAACUGGGCGGCUUGAGAGCAGGAGAGGGAAGUGGAAUUCCACGUGUAGCGGUGAAAUGCGUAGAGAUGUGGAGGAACACCAGUGGCGAAGGCGACUUUCUGGCCUGUAACUGACGCUGAGGCGCGAAAGCGUGGGGAGCAAACAGG
rnacentral:rRNA from 1 species